CGUGAAUGUGUUUCUUUCUUGUGGGCUGGACCUCCAACCAGUCUAACCCAUUGAGGACUAAACCAGCCCCCUUACUGCAGCCUGCCUCCUCCUCUCAGGGCUCGCGUGAACUGCCCACAUCACUUCCCACUAACGGUGAAGGACCUGGAUGGAGACACAGUGCUCUGUCGCUUUGCCCAGGCUGACCUUGGAGAAUGCCUUGACUGCCCCCAGAACAACUUCCUGCAGAUGGAGGAGGAGACGUGUACGCUGUUGUACAAUGGUAAAUCGUCCGCUGGCCAAUACUCUGUGCAGCUGAUGGUGGAGGACUUUUCACGCCAAACCCAAAGCAACAACCCAAAGCACUCAGUUCCAUCCCACUGCACCUGUCCCUUACAGUGGAGGAGGCGUCCUCAAGCUGCACUGCUGAGCCGGUCACUACGGGACUGACCACCAACAGGGGGAGCCACCAUCUCCGUUCUGCCCUAUGAGCAGAUCAACGUGCCUGUCACCUUUCAUUCUGACCUAGAG